rnacentral:rRNA from 1 species
GCUUGCUUUCUUUGCUGGCGACCGGCGCACGGGUGAGUAACACGUAUCCAACCUACCCUUUACUCGGGGAUAGCCUUUCGAAAGAAAGAUUAAUACCCGAUAGCAUAAUGAUUCCGCAUGGUUUCAUUAUUAAAGGAUUCCGGUAAAGGAUGGGGAUGCGUUCCAUUAGGUUGUUGGUGGGGUAACGGCCCACCAAGCCCUCGAUGGAUAGGGGUUCUGAGAGGAAGGUCCCCCACAUUGGAACUGAGACACGGUCCAAACUCCUACGGGAGGCAGCAUG